rnacentral:rRNA from 1 species
GAUGAACGCUGGCGGCGUGCCUAAUACAUGCAAGUCGAGCGAAUGGAUUAAGAGCUUGCUCUUAUGAAGUUAGCGGCGGACGGGUGAGUAUCACGUGGGUAACCUGCCCAUAAGACUGGAAUAACUCCGGGAAACCGGGGCUAAUACCGGAUAACAUUUUGAACCGCAUGGUUCGAAAUUGAAAGGCGGCUUCGGCUGUCACUUAUGGAUGGACCCGCGUCGCAUUAGCUAGUUGGUGAGGUAACGGCUCACCAAGGCAACGAUGCGUAGCCGACCUGAGAGGGUGAUCGGCCACACUGGGACUGAGACACGGCCCAGACUCCUACGGGAGGCAGCAGUAGGGAAGCUUCCGCAAUGGACGAAAGUCUGACGGAGCAACGCCGCGUGAGUGAUGAAGGCUUUCGGGUCGUAAAACUCUGUUGUUAGGGAAGAACAAGUGCUAGUUGAAUAAGCUGGCACCUUGACGGUACCUAACCAGAAAGCCACGGCUAACUACGUGCCAGCCGCCGCAGUAA